rnacentral:tRNA from 5 species
CGGGGUGUAGCGCAGCUUGGUUAGCGCGCAUGCUUUGGGAGCAUGAGGCCGCGGGUUCGAAUCCCGCCACCCCGACGA